rnacentral:lncRNA from 1 species
CUUGGAAUGCGUCAGUCACACUUCUGAUACAUUAUUUAUUCUAUCUAUUCUGAUGAUUAUUUAUUUUCAACAAGAUUUUGUCUGUCUUAUUUUCUUACACCUUUUAUUUUAUCUCUUUUCUUGCUUGUUUGUAAAUGUUUUCUUUUCAGUGCCAGUGAGAUCUUGCAUUUAUCAAACACCUAUUGUGUUCCUGCAGCAAUUGCCACUGUCGUCACUAUUGCAGAGAUUCUGAAAAACAAUGGAUUGGCGAUUGAGAAGAGUGAGAAUUCUUUUUUAGCUUACUGUUCAACAUAUGUUUCAGAUGUUAAGCACUGCAAUCUGAUCUAGCUUAGUAAGUCUUUAUAUUAGUUGUGCUAAAGUUUAAAAUUUGUAGCUUAAGUGAACAAGAUCAGAUGUUUAAUCUCUAGAGGCUGGAUCUACAAUCUCAUAAAUCCACCACUACUUUUUGACGUCAUAUGAUGUAUAGAAGGUGGCCGGGUGGGUUUCUUAAUUGUGGCCAAUUUUGGCGGUUGCAGAGAUCUCAUGUACACUGGUUGUAAAUGAAUACUGAUCUAAAGAUUGUUAUGAGGAAAACAUUUAUUUUUCCAUGUGGUUAGCUAAUCGUCAUUAUCUCGGUCAAUUUUUGAAAAAAUGAUUGUUCAGCAGUAUUAUAUGGUCGUCAUUCUUCAAUCUUCACUAGUGAUAAACUAGCAUAUAGAUACAACACCACUUUUUUGCGUACUGCAUAGACAAUUUGGCUAAUGCUUUGAUGGAAUUACAUUUUUCUCCCAGUUAUCAUGUCGGUGAACUGGUGAAGCUAUAGUACAGAAUAUCGUUAAAUUCCUCAAUAAAUAAACAAAUAUGCACUGACAUUGAAGAGGCAAAAUCAUUACUUAAUCACAUUAUAUUUUUCAAUUAAUUGCAAAAACCUAAAAAUCUUGGUAAAUAAUCAAAAUAUCGCGAUAUGUUAUUUUUGUUUGUGAACAAAAUCUGAUCAACACGUGUUUAAUUUGUUGGUUUAGGAACAGGAUCUGCUAUUCUGUUCUUUUUAACGACUGGUUUUUAAGAAACUCUUUCCCCAAUUUCUUUAUGGUAAACAAGAUUUGCAUCCAAUAUAGUGUUCUGGGUUCUUUUGAAGUUUUUUUCCGCCCUUUUCUUCACAAUGGCAAAAACUUGGUCUACAGUAGCGCUCAUUUUAAUUUCUGUGUGUUAAUGUGAAUCAUACACGAAUAUUUUAUGUUAUUUUUUUUUUUUUUGUAUAACAGUAGAUUCUAUCCCAUACAUGUUACUAUUUGAGUAGAUUCAGUUUCUUCCCAGAUAUAUACCCAAUAUAUUUUUAUCUAGUUUUAUCAGUUUAAGAAAAAAUAUUUGAUCUGAUCGAUAAAAUCCUGAUAGAUGAUUCAGGCACACUUUUUGUAACGUUAAACUAUUAGACUAGAUGGUCUUAACUAGGAAUGCCUCCUAGCCUGGAGCUGCUGCUCAUUUGUUACAAGCAAAAGAUAACUGCUUAUUUUUUUUUUUAAGAGGUGAUUAACACAUGUUGGUUUCAUUCAUAUUUCAGAUUGAAAUAUUGCUGGCGAAAACCGAGGACUUUGAUGAAUUGAUGGCUGCUGCUGCUGAAGAGAGGGAGAUGGAUGACGUUGAGGAACAGAGUUGAAUGGAUUGCGAGUUCACAAAGCUUCUAGGCUGUUGUUUGUCAAUCCAUGUGUUCUUCAAUGCAUUCGAUAAUAGUAUCUGUGCUUGGCUACAUGCCUUAAAUGUGGAUUUGUUGCCUAAUGGUGGUCAUUGUAGUCUCAUUUCCAGAGUGUGUAGUAGAUGUGAUGUAGUUUCUUAGCGUCCAGUUAGAAACUAGCUUCGGAGCAGGACUGUAAAAAAAAAAUAGUUUUCUGGAAUUCUGAUAUAGAUUUGUCUUUAUAAAGAAAAUAUUCUUAUUUAACCGUAUACUCUAGAGCUUGAUAAAAUGUUCAUUUUGGUCAUUAUACUUUGCACGUUUUUGCAGUUU